rnacentral:rRNA from 1 species
CUGACCUCAAAUCAGGUAGGAUUACCCGCUGAACUUAAGCAUAUCAAUAAGCGGAGGAAAAGAAACUAACAAGGAUUCCCCUAGUAACUGCGAGUGAAGCGGGAAAAGCUCAAAUUUAAAAUCUGGUAGUCUUUGGCUGCCCGAGUUGUAGUCUAGAGAAGUGUUUUCCGCGCUGGACCGUGUACAAGUCUCUUGGAACAGAGCGUCAUAGAGGGUGAGAAUCCCGUCUUUGACACGGACUACCAGUGCUUUGUGAUGCGCUCUCAAAGAGUCGAGUUGUUUGGGAAUGCAGCUCAAAAUGGGUGGUAAAUUCCAUCUAAAGCUAAAUAUUGGCGAGAGACCGAUAGCGAACAAGUACCGUGAGGGAAAGAUGAAAAGCACUUUGGAAAGAGAGUUAAACAGUACGUGAAAUUGUUGAAAGGGAAACGCUUGAAGUCAGUCGCGUCGUCCAGAACUCAACCUGGCUUUCGCUUGGUGCACUUUCUGGUUGACGGGCCAACAUCAGUUUUGACUGUCGGAAAAAGUCCUUGGGAAUGUGGCACCUUCGGGUGUGUUAUAGCCCUUGGUCGUAUACGAUGGUUGGGACUGAGGACCGCAGCACGCCUUUUGGCCGGGGUUCGCCCACGUACGUGCUUAGGAUGUUGGCGUAAUGGCUUUAAGCGACCCGUC